CUUGAGGGGAAAAAAGCCUGAAUGUGAACAUCUUCUAGGUCCACCUAUCAAUUUACGGGAAGCACUGAAAACAAAGAGCCAUAUUAAACUACACCAGGGGAUUGCAAUACAUGGAACAAAUACUCCGUUUUUUUCAGCAGAUUUAUUACAAGGGAAAAAAUAAAGAGCUGGAGGGAGGAUCUGUACUUUAAUUGAAACCCAGAAGACAUCCACGUACAGAGAUUCAUGGACCUCAUUUCAACCUUGAUUUUUAAAAAAAGACUGGAAAAAACUUUUGAGAAAACUGGAAAUUUGGACAGUAACAAGUCAAGGAAUUAAGAAAUGGGAACAUUUGAAAACCACACUGAAGGUGAGGAAAUCUUGGCAGGCUCAACAACAUCAUUUUCCUUUGAGAAACAGCACCAGGGAUUGGAAAUCCCAAAUGACGUCUCAAGAUCAAAACACCCAUGAGAAAAUGAGCUCAUUUGCUCCUUCCUGCUUUCUGAAAGAAAAAAA